rnacentral:pre_miRNA from 1 species
UAGGAUUGUCCAAAGUCAAACAUUUUUAACUUUGACCAAGUCUGAAAAAAAUGUGCUAAGAUCUACAAUAUCAAAUAUAUAUACAUAUUAUAAAAUAAUUUUUAUAAUGAAUCUAAUGACGUAAAUUUGAUGUUGUAGAUGUUGAUAUAUUUUUCUAUAAACUUGGUCAAACUUAACGAAGUUUGACUCAGGACAAACCCAA